ensembl:processed_transcript
AUGGCGGUGACUGCGGCCCUCUCUGCAGCCGCUGCGGCAGCGGCCCUGUCUGGCCUGGCAGUGCGACUGUCGCGUUGGGCGGCGACGCGCAGCUCCUAUGGUGCGUUCUGCAAGGGGCUCACGCGCACGCUACUCACCUUCUUCGACCUAGCCUGGCGCCUGCGCGUGAACUUCCCCUACUUCUACAUGGUGGCCUCCGUGAUGCUCAACGUCCGCCUGCAGGUGCGGAUCGAGUGAGCAAACGCCCUCCGCCACCGCGGAGAGGGCCAUCCGCUCCUUCCCCGCCAUCCUGGAGGCUGCAGGAAGGACAGCGGGGCUGCCUAGUGCUUCGAGACUGCGGCGGGGGGCGCAGGCGGCACAGCCCGGUCCCCUCCAUUUUAGGUCUCUGCGAAGAGCCUGAGGAACCUCAUCCCAUACNGCAAAAACCUUCACAGCCCAGUCCUUUUCCUCUGCAUCCCGAGAAUCACCAGAGUCUGGCAAACCUGUUGCCUCCCCAUUGGCCGAAAGCGGGAGAGCCCAAAAGAGGGGAUGCUACUACAGGACUUGAUUUACCAGGCUCUNNNNNNNNCUUUCUGGUGAGCCCAGAGGGGUGAGGUGGCUCAGGUCACCUGGUCCCUCCACAGGAAAGGGUGGACACUUGGACACUGAUAUCUCCUGGCAACACUGUGAGGGAGAUGUGUUCUCACACCUCAUGAACUCGAUGGGGCUCAAGGAAGGGCCUAGGAUUUGCCCUUGUUACAAAGAGAAGAGAGCUCAGCCUGCCCUGGACCGGCAUUCCUCCACCCUUUCUGAAGUUUCUUCAUGACCUGGCAGGACAUUGGAGUUGGGAGGGAGUGGAGAACUACCAAGGGACCUAGGGAGAAAGAGAGGGCAUGAGAUAGGGGAGCUAGGCAUCUGCAUUUCCUUGGAGUGGUCUGGAAGACAGGUGAACGGUUGAUUUCAUAAACAGAGGGGAAGACUCAAGAAUUUCCUAAAAUGUCUAGUCCCCUACCAGAACCAAGCCCCCCACUUCUCUGGUGCUUGAUCAAGGGCUCCUGAGCACUUGUGUGCUAGCAGACUGCAGUGAGGAUGGCAUUGUCGUUUGUUUAUAGGGUCAUGACUUCACUUGAAGUGUUGGGGUCUCGAUGUGGACUAAGACCCAUGCUAUGGCCCUGUUUCUCUGUUCCCAGGCUUGCAGGCUUGUCCCUGGCAUCACAUGGGAAACCUCAUCCAGAUAAGUUGGGGACAGCCUGUCCAGGAGGCCCUAUGUAGGCUAGAAGUUGUGAUCUCUAAAUAUCCAAGGACGGCCCAAUGGAUAUUUUACUUCUUAUCCCACACUCCCCGAGCUCCUCUGACACUGGUAUCUCAAGGUCUAUACAUUCCAUUCCUGAUACAGAAACCUUCAGCAUGCCAGCCAACCCCAGGGACAGAGUCAGGGACCCAGAUGAAGAUCUCAGAUUGUCUCCCCCAAAGGGCACAAGCUGAAAGGUGGCUGCCACAUGGCUUCUGCUACUCACCAUAGGGCAGGACUAAUGGCUUCUUUCUCCAAAGUUUCACUAGUAGUCCAUGUAUGUAUGUAUGUUGGAAUGUGUGUGUGUGUGUGUGUGUGUGUGUGUGGUUGUAUGUAAAUGUGUGUGAUGGGGGUGGAUCCAUUGGGUAGGGAGAGGAGCUACUGAGAAUUCCCUGUUUUCCAAGUACAGGGAGGAUCACGUGGACUACUGGGGGAAAUGAGUAUGAGGUCCGAGGCCCCUUCCUCUUAGACCUCACACAACAGGGAAGCCUGUCCCUGGCCAUGCUCAGGCAUGGGCUAUGGUGUGAGAUCAGAGGCACUGAUAUUAGGUUAGACUUUGGGGCCAGUAGUGUCAGCCAGGACAGGGCAGAGCUAGGACUCAGCAUGAGUUCAUGUCCCAUUCUGGCCCUAAUUAGUCUGUGAGCUUCUGCUUUCCCAUCCCCUCAGCUGCUUUUAUUCUUCCAUGGUGCCCUCGCUGUAUGAUAUCAUGGUGCACUUUAUUUGCAGUCUGUAUUGCAGGUAGGCAGCAGAGCUUCAACAAAUUCAGAGACUUAACCUGGAUGUCCUGACAUUUUCAUGUGUGAUGGGACUCUGUAUGGCCAGUGUUGUCUGGUCAGAGAUGUGGUUUCUG